rnacentral:rRNA from 1 species
CAAUAGCGUAUAUUAAAGUUGUUGCGGUUAAAAAGCUCGUAGUUGGAUUUCUGCUGAGAACGACCGGUCCGCCCUUUGGGUGUGUAUCUGGCUCUUUCUUGGCAUCUUCUUGGUGAACGUUGCUGCACUUGACUGUGUGGAGCGCUACCCAGGACUUUUACUUUGAGGAAAUUAGAGUGUUUCAAGCAGGCAUACGCCUUGAAUACAUUAGCAUGGAAUAAUAAGAUAGGACCUCGGUUCUAUUUUGUUGGUUUCUAGAGCUGAGGUAAUGAUUAAUAGGGAUAGUUGGGGGCAUUCGUAUUUAACUGUCAGAGGUGAAAUUCUUGGAUUUAUUAAAGACUAACAUCUGCGAAAGCAUUUGCCAAGGAUGUUUNCAUUAA